ACACAACAUCUUUGUUUGUAUGUGGUGCUGAGGAUCGAACCUGGGCCGCACACAGGCCAGGCGAGUGCGCUGCCACUUGAGCCACAUCCCCAGCCCUGAGCGAAUAGAUCUUAAGUGUUUCUGCCACAAAUAAGAAGGUGAUAUUGGAGCAAGCAGAAGUAAGAGGAGCCUUUUUCAUGCGAAGGAAGGUGGCCCAUGGGGACUCAGUGGAAGGGUCUCCCUGUGGGGAGCUGUUCCCAGCAGAAGGUGACACGGGAGGCACAUUCCACUCCCCUUUUGCCCUCGCUCAGGGUCAGGAGAGCAGAACUCAGGAGCCUACGGGAGAACCCCGGGUACACUUUGAUUUAAAAAAAAAAAAAAACGAAAUUAAGAAAUGGGCAACUGAACACUUGGUCAACCAAACCCUCAGUGAAGCCCUUCCUCAUCCUCUCAACUUGAACCCCGAAGCCAGACUGCCUGGAUUCAAGUCCCAGCUCUGCCACCUACCAACCCUGAGACCUUGGACAGAUUCCCCAGCCUUUCUGUGCUUCUCUGCAUGAUGAGGAGCUCACCAGGACUCAGAGAAGCACUAUUCACAAUAGCCAAAAGGUGGAGACAGCCCAGAUGUCUGUCUGGAUGAACAGAUAAACUAAGUGCCAGGUAUCCUCACGGUGGGACGCUUGCCUGUGUCACUCAUGACAGGGAUUCGUUCUGAGAAAUGCAUCCCGGGGUGUUUUCACCAUCGUUUGAACCGCAGAGAGCACUGACAUGAAGCUAGAGGGCGUAGGACCAUCUCUCCACGUGGCCUCUGCGUGCACGAGCCGAUGAGCUUGUGCCAGCGUAGCACAGCAUGCUGCUCUCCAGUGGUCAUUUUUUAUAAGUAGGCAGAGUACACUCCAAAAUAAGGAGGGAAAGAUGACAUAAUGGAUACUCAAAGCAGGAGCAGUCCCUUGUCCUCCUCAGCGAGCGUGAUGACCGCAUGUGCUAUGGUUUUACAGAGCUGGUGGGGCAGCACGUCUGUCAACACCAGCAUUACCAAGACGGGUGAGUGACGCGUUGUGCCACCAAGUUACGAGGAUGACAACGUCACUAGGUGACAGGAAUCUUUCAGCUCCCUUUUAAUCUUCUGGGGCGCCCGUGGUACAGUAGGCAGCCCAUUAUUGACCCAGACAUCGGGAUUGCAUUGGUCAGCCCCAGAAAGUCCCAACACAGGGACAAACAGGCGCUCCUCUCCAGUUGGCAGGUCAGUGGACUUCCCAAGGAAUGAACUUAUAAAACUUUUGUUUGGGGGGCGGUGCUGGGGAUGGAAGCCAGCGCCUUGUGCACGGGAGGCCAGCACCCCACCAACUGAGCUCUCCCCAGCCCGUGUACUCUCAUAACUGAAAAGUACAUUCUGCUAAACAGAAGCCCAGGGGUAACGCCGGCCCUACCACCUCUGGGGGCUUCUGGCCCACUUCUGCUCAGAGCCCCCUCCUCCUGGCCCUUCUGGGGUCUCAAUUCUGUCCUUGAGCCCUAGCACAUCCAUGCUGACUCCCUCCAGGACGAGGCCAGAGGUUCCCAAGUGGAGGUCAUUUGACAAUUUCUGGAGACAGGUGGUUGCACAACCCAAGUGAUCCCAGGGAUCCUCAAGGAUUGUUACAGCAUCUGGUGAGCGGGGGACAGAAAUGCUGCUAAACAUCCCAACGUGCUCAGGAUGCAACAAAGAAUGGUCUGAUCCAAAAUGCCAAGGUGGAGAAAACCACAUGCCUGAGCCAGUAAUAAUAACACGAUCCCCACUAACCACCAUUCUGGAGGGUCUUCCAGAGGCGGGGCACCAGGGGACGAGCACUGCACCAUUUAGCAAAUGAGAGCCAUCCAGCAGCCCUAAAAGUGAGGUCAAAUGGUGAUCUCUAUUUUGUAGGUAAGGAAACUGCAGGCCAGAGAAAUUAAGUACUUUGUCCCAAUCGCACAGCAAGUAUCAGAGCUGGAAUUAGAAUCCAAGUCUAUUUGAUUCCAAAUCCCAUUCAAACCCCCAGGGGACCUGCAAACCGCCUCACUCCCUCCUCCCUUGAAUUAGGGUAGGUGCUCUUUUCUUGGGCAAGAACUUGUGGAACUUCUGGUUGAAAUAAACAAGUCCCUGGGGCCUUGUUGUUGGAGUUGGAGCCCCUGCUCCUGGGUUUGCGUUCUUGGUUUGUCCUACACCCAGAAUGCGGAGGCCACUGCCCCAGUCAGAUCUUGACCUUCAGGGAAGGAGUUAAGGGCAGCUUUCCUGAGCGGUGAAAGCCACAGAGUCUUAGCCCCAGGGGAUCUGCAGGCGGCCUCCAGCCCUCUUCCCGUAGGCCCCAAGUUCCAAUGGCUGCUCCCUGGCUGGAGAGGCAGGGCCUCCCACUGGAAGUGUGCUGGGGCAAACCUGUGGCCCAUUUCCUCCGCCCUUUUGGCUCAAGGUCUGUAGAGUCCCAGGACUCAGAGACCAGGUCCGGCCUCUUUCAGUGUCAGCUCCUCCCUGACAAGAAAGAGGCCGUUGGCUACUCCCUACCUCGGGAGGAAGCCUGCGUGUGUCUUCCAGAGCUGAGAUCCCACCUGUCAAGCCUCCUCCCGCCACGCCACGCUCCAGGGAGCCGUAGUUCCUCACAGGAGCUGGUGGCCAGGGAUGUCUUGACUCUGCAGAACACAAGACUAUUGGGCCCCACUCUCUUCCAGAGAAGAGAGGGACAAGUGAGUGGGGCUCUGAGCUCACCCCACCAGACCUUACGGCCACCUUCCUUUCUCCGUUGAAGCACAGCACGCACGCAGGUGAGCAGACGGAUCGCAGACACACGCGUCCUCAUGGACACCACAAAAGGAGCACAGCUGGGUGAGCACCAUCCAGGUCACAAAACAGAGCAUUAGCAUCUCCCCAGAAACCCUGCCAGGGGCACCAGGCUGUCCUGCCCCUCCUAGUCCAUGGCACCCAGUAUCCUGAGACCAACACCAUAGUUUUUGUUGUUGUUGUUGUUGUUUUUAAUAUUUUUUAAGUUGUAGAUGGACACGAUACCUUUAUUUUAUUUAUUUUUAUGUGGUGCUGAGGAUCGAACCCAGUGCCUCACGCAUGCCAGGCAGGCACUCUACCCCUGAGCCCCAGCCCCAGCUGUUGUUGGGUUUUAACUUACAAAUUUAAGUUCUUUUGAACAUGGACACCUAUAGAUUCGUAUAUUUAAAACAUUGUAGGUACUAACCCAGGGCAAACAAAGGACCCCGUGACACCAAGGAAACACUAAAUUUGCAAAUAAGGCAAAUUUGACUUGGAAGCAAUGUCUUUGGACCUUACAAUUUCUGAGUAGAAUAUCUGUCUUUUAAAAGUCCUGUUCUUGGCUGGAGUUGUGGCUCAGUGGUGCAGCCUUACCUAGCAUGUAUGAGGCCCUGGGUUCCAUCCUCAGCACCACAAAUAAAUAUAUAAAAUAAAGGUCCAUCUACAACUAACAAAAAAAAAGUCCUGUUCUGGGAAUGGGGAUGUAGGUUGUUGGCACAGCACUUAGGGCACUUGCCUAGCAGGAGCCAAGUCCCUGGGUUCAAUCACCAGUACUGCAAAACCAAAAAUAAACAAAGAAAAGUCCCGUUCUGGUGCUGAGGCUUAUUGUGCUUCCAUUUACGAUGCUUUGUGAUUUUUCUAAUCAUGGCUUUGUUGAGAAUCAUUGAGUACUCUAUACAAUGACCCACUGUCAUGAUUCAGAUAUGAGAUGUCCCCCAAAAACUCAUGUGAGAA